rnacentral:rRNA from 1 species
UACGUAGGUGGCAAGCGUUGUCCGGAUUUAUUGGGUUUAAAGGGUGCGUAGGUGGUCUAUUAAGUCAGUGCUGAAAUAUCCCGGCUUAACCGGGAGGGUGGCAUUGAUACUGAUGGACUUGAGUAAAGUUGAGGUAGGCGGAAUUGACGGUGUAGCGGUGAAAUGCUUAGAUAUCGUCAAGAGCACCUAUAGCGAAGGCAGCUUACUAAGCUUUAACUGACGCUGAGGCACGAAAGUGUGGGGAUCAAACAGG